UACGUGAGGUGGCAAGCGUUGUCCGGAUUUACUGGGCGUAAAGAGCGCGCAGGCGGUCGUUCAAGUCGAGUGUGAAAGCCCCCGGCUCAACUGGGGAGGGUCACGCGAUACUGAUCGACUCGAAGGCAGGAGAGGGAAGUGGAAUUCCCGGUGUAGUGGUGAAAUGCGUAGAUAUCGGGAGGAACACCAGUGGCGAAGGCGACUUCCUGGCCUGUUCUUGACGCUGAGGCGCGAAAGCUAGGGGAGCAAACGGG
rnacentral:rRNA from 1 species